CACAACUAAUUAUCAAUGACAAAAAAGAAGAGAAAAGUGUAUUUUCUUGUCUUGAGAACUCAGAGUUUCAACUUUGAAAAAAGCUUUCGAAUUUUGUUGUCCACGACGAAGCCAUCUCAACCGGAGUUCCGAGUUCAGAGAGAAGCGAGAGUUUGAGAAGAAAAGCAAUGGAAGAAAGGGUUCUAGGAACUUUCAGAUUCUAAUCAUUUCUUGCUCUCCAUAUAGCAUAGGUCACUGCUGCAAAUACUGCCAAUACAAAAUACAGAUACACAUACACAUAGUUGUAUAUUACGUGUUUUGUUUUCUACUGAAUAAUAUGUGCGUGUUCUUUCA